CUGCCCUUUAAAGUUUAUGAAAAGGUGACUCCUUCGUGAACAAGCCCCAUAGUACAUUGUAUAGAAAGGGACAAACCUCCCUGCUGAAACUAGUGGAAGACGCUGCCCUUUAAAGUUUAUGAAAAGGUGACUCCUUCGUGAACAAGCCCCAUAGUACAUUGUAUAGAAAGGGACAAACCUCCCUGCUGAAACUAGUGGAAGACGCUGCCCUUUAAAGUUUAUGAAAAGGUGACUCCUUCGUGAACAAGCCCCAUAGUACAUUGUAUAGAAAGGGACAAACCUCCCUGCUGAAACUAGUGGAAGACGCUGCCCUUUAAAGUUUAUGAAAAGGUGACUCCUUCGUGAACAAGCCCCAUAGUACAUUGUAUAGAAAGGGACAAACCUCCCUGCUGAAACUAGUGGAAGACGCUGCCCUUUAAAGUUUAUGAAAAGGUGACUCCUUCGUGAACAAGCCCCAUAGUACAUUGUAUAGAAAGGGACAAACCUCCCUGCUGAAACUAGUGGAAGACGCUGCCCUUUAAAGUUUAUGAAAAGGUGACUCCUUCGUGAACAAGCCCCAUAGUACAUUGUAUAGAAAGGGACAAACCUCCCUGCUGAAACUAGUGGAAGACGCUGCCCUUUAAAGUUUAUGAAAAGGUGACUCCUUCGUGAACAAGCCCCAUAGUACAUUGUAUAGAAAGGGACAAACCUCCCUGCUGAAACUAGUGGAAGACGCUGCCCUUUAAAGUUUAUGAAAAGGUGACUCCUUCGUGAACAAGCCCCAUAGUACAUUGUAUAGAAAGGGACAAACCUCCCUGCUGAAACUAGUGGAAGACGCUGCCCUUU